rnacentral:rRNA from 1 species
GUAGGGUGCGAGCGUUGUCCGGAAUUAUUGGGCGUAAAGAGCUCGUAGGCGGUUUGUCGCGUCUAUCGUGAAAACUGGAGGCUUAACCUUCAGCUUGCGGUGGACACGGGCAGACUUGAGUUCGGUAGGGGAGACUGGAAUUCCUGGUGUAGCGGUGAAAUGCGCAGAUAUCAGGAGGAACACCGGUGGCGAAGGCGGGUCUCUGGGCCGAUACUGACGCUGAGGAGCGAAAGCGUGGGGAGCGAACAGGAUUAGAUACCCUGGUAGUCCACGCUGUAAACGUUGGGCGCUAGGUGUGGGGAGCAUUCCACGUUCUCCGUGCCGUAGCUAACGCAUUAAGCGCCCCGCCUGGGGAGUACGGCCGCAAGGCUA